AAGCACCAGAUACUAGCCUGACAGUCCAAUUUCCUUCGCAUUUGGAGAUUUGUAUGGCUGCUUGGGUGCAAACGGUGCAAGAGCAUGACUUGCCAUGAGAUUUAAGCUUUUCAGUGAAAGGCGACACUGUGAGGUUAUUACUCAGAGGCACAGAU
rnacentral:snoRNA from 1 species